rnacentral:sRNA from 1 species
AAGAGAGGCUAUUACAGGCUCCAAGGUAGAGCCAGCCCAGUUGGGUCUAGGGGUGGGAACUGGGCACUGCAGUCAGCUCUGACCCUGGCCAGUUCCCCCAUCCCCACCCCCAGAUCUACCCAGACCCGGAGCUGGAAGUACAAGUAUUGGGCCUGCCUAUCCGCUGCAUCCACAGUGAGGAGGGCUGCCGCUGGAGUGGGCCACUACGUCAUCUACAGGUGAGGCUCUGAUGUGAGGGCUGGCACCACCUCUCCCUUGGCAGGCACUAAUUGCAGCCUUCCCACCAGGGCCACCUGAAUACCUGCAGCUUCAAUGUCAUUCCCUGCCCUAAUCGCUGCCCCAUGAAGCUGAGCCGCCGUGAUCUACCUGCACACUUGCAGCAUGACUGCCCCAAGCGGCGCCUCAAGUGCGAGUUUUGUGGCUGUGACUUCAGUGGGGAGGCCUAUGAGAGCCAUGAGGGUAUGUGCCCCCAGGAGAGUGUCUACUGUGAGAAUAAGUGUGGUGCCCGCAUGAUGCGGCGGCUGCUGGCCCAGCAUGCCACCUCUGAGUGCCCCAAGCGCACUCAGCCCUGCACCUACUGCACUAAGGAGUUCGUCUUUGACACCAUCCAGAGCCACCAGUACCAGUGCCCAAGGCUGCCUGUUGCCUGCCCCAACCAAUGUGGUGUGGGCACUGUGGCUCGGGAGGACCUGCCAGGCCAUCUGAAGGACAGCUGUAACACCGCCCUGGUGCUCUGCCCAUUCAAAGACUCCGGCUGCAAGCACAGGUGCCCUAAGCUGGCAAUGGCACGGCAUGUGGAGGAGAGUGUGAAGCCACAUCUGGCCAUGAUGUGUGCCCUGGUGAGCCGGCAACGGCAG